CCUACGGGAGGCAGCAGUGAGGAAUAUUGGUCAAUGGGGGGAACCCUGAUGCAGCGACGCCGCGUGGGUGAAGAAGCGCCUCGGCGCGUAAAGCCCUGUCAGCAGGGAAGAAAAUGACGGUACCUGAAGAAGAAGCCCCGGCUAACUACGUGCCAGCAGCCGCGGGAAUACGUAGGGGGCAAGCGUUAUCCGGAUUUACUGGGUGUAAAGGGGGCGCAGACGGCGAUGCAAGCCAGGAGUGAAAGCCCGGGGCCCAACCCCGGGACUGCUCUUGGAACUGCGUGGCUGGAGUGCAGGAGGGGCAGGCGGAAUUCCUGGUGUAGCGGUGAAAUGCGUAGAUAUCAGGAGGAACACCGGUGGCGAAGGCGGCCUGCUGGACUGCAACUGACGUUGAGGCCCGAAAGCGUGGGGAGCAAACAGGAUUAGAUACCUGAGUAGUC
rnacentral:rRNA from 1 species